GACGUAGGAGGCGAGCGUUAUCCGGAUUCACUGGGCGUAAAGCGCAUGUAGGCGGUUCGGCAAGUCGUGUGUUAAAGCCCCUGGCUCAACUGGGGGAGGUCAUGCGAGACUGACAGACUUGAGGGCAGUAGAGGCACGUGGAACUCCCGGUGUAGCGGUGAAAUGCGCAGAUAUCAGGAGGAACACCAAUGGCGAAGGCAGCUCGCUGGGACGUGACUGACGCUGAGACGCGAAAGCGUGGGGAGCAAACAGG
rnacentral:rRNA from 1 species